CGAAAUGCGAUAAGUAGUGUGAAUUGCAGAAUUCAGUGAAUCAUCGAAUCUUUGAACGCACAUUGCGCCCUUUGGUAUUCCAAAGGGCAUGCCUGUUCGAGCGUCAUUUGUACCCUCAAGCUUUGCUUGGUGUUGGGCGUCUUGUCUCCAGUUCGCUGGAGACUCGCCUUAAAGUAAUUGGCAGCCGGCCUACUGGUUUCGGAGCGCAGCACAAGUCGCGCUCUCUUCCAGCCAAGGUCAGCAUCCACAAAGCCUUUUUUCAACUUUUGACCUCGGAUCAGGUAGGGAUACCCGCUGAACUUAAGC
rnacentral:misc_RNA from 1 species